rnacentral:rRNA from 1 species
GGAGUUAGCCGGUGCUUCUUCUGUGAGUGAUGUCCUUCCUGCCGGCUAUUAACCCGCAGGCCUUCUUCCUCACUGAAAGUGCUUUACAACCCGAAGGCCUUCUUCACACACGCGGCAUGGCUGGAUCAGGGUUGCCCCCAUUGUCCAAUAUUCCCCACUGCUGCCUCCCGUAGGAGUCUGGGCCGUGUCUCAGUCCCAGUGUGGCUGAUCAUCCUCUCAGACCAGCUACGGAUCGUCGCCUUGGUGAGCCGUUACCUCACCAACCAGCUAAUCCGACAUAGGCUCAUCCGAUAGCGCGAGGCCCGAAGGUCCCCCGCUUUCCCCCGUAGGGCGUAUGCGGUAUUAGCCUGGGUUUCCCCAGGUUAUCCCCCACUACCGGGCAGAUUCCUAUGCAUUACUCACCCGUCCGCCGCUCGCCACCAGGGAGCAAGCUCCCCGUGCUGCCGCUCGACUUGCAUGUGUUGGGCCUGCCGCCAGCGUUCAAUCUGAGCCAGAAUCAAACUCUGA